ACCAUCACCUCCAGUUCGCCUCCCCCCAUCAAUCACUUCCACCUCCGACCAACUCUAAGCACGACCUACCUAUCAUCCAUCCUUUGCAAUCAAUCAACCUCCUAGCUCUAUCUAUCUCCAUCAUAACUUCUUCUGUAACUCUAGAAGCUAGGGUUGAGAGAGAUAAGGCUAGGAUUAGCCUCAAUAACUAAAAGCAAAUAUCAAAUCAAUGAGUUACAUGGCAGAAUUGCAAAGGGGGUUUGUUGGAAAAUACGAAUUUGAGUACAUGUGAUACUGCAUUGCGAAGUAAGGAAAGAAAGGAAAAGGAGCAGGACAACGUGUUUAACGAGCCUAAACCCGGUAUGGUACUGGCGGUAGUGUUUUCAAAACUCAUUACCUAUUAGGACUGUAUGAAUGCUAUCUGCCUGCUGAAACUAGUUUCGCUUUACAUAACUUUGUCAAAAACCCUGCAACACCUCUGUUGUGCAUGAACCUAUGAUGUUUGAGUAAUUUAUUUACUAGAUGAAAUUCGUAUUUAUGCGAGCAUAACUCAGUUACUGAAAAAUUUUAUAUGUCUGCACGUAUGUGUGAAUAUGUUGCUACUUCCAUGAUCUUUACCUCCCUUAUUUUCUCAUUGUUGCUCGACUAAUUUGUCAAGUAUCUGCUGAGUUUGUCACGUCACUUUACUGGGUUUGUGUCUGUCCGCACCGCUUAGUCUCUGGAUGACCUGCUAAAUUUGAUUUCUUAACCUCAACAGAACCUGUGCAUGGUUUCAUCCCUGAAACUCAUUAAAUCUGUGUGUAAUUCUGUGCUUUGUUCAUUGAUACUUGCCUAAACAAUAUGCCAAGCUUGAAUCUGUAUGCAAAUUCUGAGAACUAGCUUUUGAGCCUGUGAAAGUUAAGUGUGUGUUGGUUAACUGAAUUUGUUGUUAAUUGUAAUAAGCUUGCAUGAUUGUGAAUCUCUGAGCCUUCUAAGCACAACCUGUGACCUGAAUUUGGCACCUACUUGUUGUUUCACUUUUUGGUCUGUUACUCUCGACAGAACCUGUGCAUACGUCACUGAAACAUAAUGUCAUUUUCAUAAGCACUGAUAGUUGAUAUUUGAGCAGCUUGUUGACCCGCUGAAUCUGUCGAGUCUUGUGUGCUACUUCCAAGUUUUAACUUUUGAUUCUCGAGACUUCCAGUCCCUGAACUGUGAUUCACUUGCUUGUCUGAACUGCAGCAUCAAAAAGCUGUAUGUACAAAUUCUAGGGCUAGCCUGUUGACCCUGUAUUGUCCUCUUGUAUUGCUUGAAACUGAGUUGCACAUUUGUAUCUUGGCUGAGUCGUACUACAUUGUGGAUCUGUGUGCAUAAGUCUGAGAACUAGCUUUGGACUCUCAUAGGCUUUGUGUCUCUGUAUUGAGAGUUGCUUGUUGUCUGAUUGCUAUAACAUGAUGACUAGU